CGGCGACGAAAUUUGCAGGGGGUGUGCGCCUGACGUUGUGUGUCUCGGUGGUGUAGGAGGUGUCGAAGAAAGACCAUCGUGAGAGACCACUGUUGACGGAAACUUUGCCGGAACAGUGUUCCGAGCAGAGAGAGAGAGGGGGGUACUUACCUGUAGGUUCCGGCGACUCGGAGGUGGUGCCGAUGGUGUUAACCAGAGAGAUGGAUGGAACCGUGCUAAUUCUCAGGCUUGCGGCGCGUGGGUGGUCAGCGACGGCGCGUGAGGCAGAUUCCGGCGACGAAAUUUGCAGGGGGUGUGCGCCUGACGUUGUGUGUCACGGUGGUGUAGGAGGUGUCGAAGAAAGGCCGCCGUGAGAGACCACUGUUGGCGGAAACUUUGCCGGAACAGUGUUCCGAGCAGAGAGAGAGGGGUACUUACCUGUAGGUUCCGGCGACUCGGAGGUGGUGCCGAUGGUGUUAACCAGAGAGAUGGAU
rnacentral:lncRNA from 1 species